rnacentral:rRNA from 1 species
AUUGAACGCUGGCGGCAGGCCUAACACAUGCAAGUCGCACGAGUGGCGGACGGGUGAGUAAUGUCUGGGAAACUGACCGAUGGAGGGGGAUAACUACUGGAAACGGUAGCUCAUACCGCAUACCAUCGGAUGUUACCAGAUGUGAUUAGCGAGUAGGUGUGGUAACCGCUCACCUGGGCGACGAUCCCUAGCUGUUCUGGGAGGAUGACCGGGCCCACUGGAGCUGAGACACGGUACAGACUCCGACGGGAGGCAGCAGUGGGUAAUAUUGCACCAUGGGCGCAAGCCUGAUGCAGCCAUGCCGCGUGUAUGAAGAAGGCCUUCGGGUUGUAAAGUACUUUCAGCGAGGAGGCGUUACUCGCAGAAGAAGCACCGGCUAACUCCGUGCCAGCCGCCGCGGUAAUAC